GAUAAACGCUGGCGGCGUGCCUAACACAUGCAAGUCGAACGGUCCCGCAAGGGAGAGUGGCGGAAGGGUGAGUAACACGUGGGAAUCUACCUCCUCGCAGGGGAACAACCUCUCGAAAGAGAGGCUAAUACCCAAAAGGGUCAGAAAUGAUCAGAGUCGAAAGGCGUGAGGAGAGGAGCCCGCGGCCCAUCAGCUAGUUGGUGAGGUAAUGGCUUACCAAGGCUACGACGGGUAGGGGAUCUGAGAGGAUGUCCCCCACACUGGAACUGAAACACGGUCCAGACGCCUACGGGUGGCAGCAGUGAGGAAUACUGGACAAUGGGCGAAAGCCCGAUCCAGCAACGCCGCGUGGAGGAUGAAGGCCUUGGGUCGUAAACUUCUUUAGAGGGAGACGAGAAAGGACGGUAUCCCUAGAAUAAGCGACGGCAAACUACGUGCCAGCAGCCGCGGU
rnacentral:rRNA from 1 species